rnacentral:rRNA from 1 species
CCUACGGGUGGCAGCAGUGAGGAAUAUUGGUCAAUGGACGAGAGUCUGAACCAGCCAAGUAGCGUGAAGGAUGACUGCCCUAUGGGUUGUAAACUUCUUUUAUAUGGGAAUAAAAUGUUCCACGUGUGGGAUUUUGUAUGUACCAUAUGAAUAAGGAUCGGCUAACUCCGUGCCAGCAGCCGCGGUAAUACGGAGGAUCCGAGCGUUAUCCGGAUUUAUUGGGUUUAAAGGGAGCGUAGGUGGAUUGUUAAGUCAGUUGUGAAAGUUUGCGGCUCAACCGUAAAAUUGCAGUUGAAACUGGCAGUCUUGAGUACAGUAGAGGUGGGCGGAAUUCGUGGUGUAGCGGUGAAAUGCUCAGAUAUCACGAAGAACUCCGAUUGCGAAGGCAGUUCACUGGACUGCAACUGACACUGAGGCUCGAAAGUGUGGGUAUCAAACAGGAUUAGACCCUUGUAGUC